rnacentral:rRNA from 1 species
AACAGGAAACAGCUUGCUGUUUCGCUGACGAGUGGCGGACGGGUGAGUAAUGUCUGGGAAACUGCCUGAUGGAGGGGGAUAACUACUGGAAACGGUAGCUAAUACCGCAUAACGUCGCAAGACCAAAGAGGGGGACCUUCGGGCCUCUUGCCAUCGGAUGUGCCCAGAUGGGAUUAGCUAGUAGGUGGGGUAACGGCUCACCUAGGCGACGAUCCCUAGCUGGUCUGAGAGGAUGACCAGCCACACUGGAACUGAGACACGGUCCAGACUCCUACGGGAGGCAGCAGUGGGGAAUAUUGCACAAUGGGCGCAAGCCUGAUGCAGCCAUGCCGCGUGUAUGAAGAAGGCCUUCGGGUUGUAAAGUACUUUCAGCGGGGAGGAAGGGAGUAAAGUUAAUACCUUUGCUCAUUGACGUUACCCGCAGAAGAAGCACCGGCUAACUCCGUGCCAGCAGCCGCGGUAAUACGGAGGGUGCAAGCGUUAAUCGGAAUUACUGGGCGUAAAGCGCACGCAGGCGGUUUGUUAAGUCAGGUGUGAAAUCCCCGGGCUCAACCUGGGAACUGCAUCUGAUACUGGCAAGCUUGAGUCUCGUAGAGGGGGGUAGAAUUCCAGGUGUAGCGGUGAAAUGCGUAGAGAUCUGGAGGAAUACCGGUGGCGAAGGCGGCCCCCUGGACGAAGACUGACGCUCAGGUGCGAAGCGUGGGGAGCAA